CUUGGAGAAGCAUCAGCUGAGAGGAGCUAUCACAUGGGAGCCGGGACUGCUCAGCAAAGAUGGAUUUAUGAGGAAACUGAAAUUCAGAAGAUUCACAGAGUUAGUAAUGCCCAGAACUGGGACUAGAAACUAAAUUUUGUGCUCCUUCUACUCCCCAGCAGCUCUUGCCAUUCUGAGGAGACAAGAAAUCAGGAAAUUUACAUAAGGAACCCUAAAACUGAGGCACUAUCCCAGAGAUCAGCAGGACCCUGGGAAGGAGAAACAGGAUUUAGAAUCCCCGGCUAACAGUUCUGGAAAGGGUAGAAGGGUGUGGAGAACAAGAAUGGCAGAAAGGAGAUGGAAAAGGAAGAGGUGAAGUCCAUUCCGAAGGCGGAGUGUUGAGUGGGACAGGCUCCUGCACCUCUCACGUCUCCUGCUUCUUAGCAGUCACCAAGGCAGACCCUGGAGCUACCUCCGGCCAGAAAGGGGAUGAGCUUCUGAUCCUUCAGCUGCCUGGCCUGGCGCUCUGUACGCAGACAACCUGCCCAAGAGGCUCCAGUGGGAGGUGCCCCCUACGAAACCGGGAAGCCUGGGCCUGGGCUCGCCAUCCCAGGGUCGCUGGACUAGGAUGGGGGAUGGGCCUGUGACAGGAGGUACCCUGGGUGCCCUCUUUUGGCCCCAUGGAGUCCUCACCCAUCCCCCAGUCAUCAGGGAACUCUUCCACUUUGGGGAGGGUCCCUCAAACCCCAGGUCCCUCUACUGCCAGUGGGGUCCCAGAGGUGGGGCUACAGGAUGUCGCUUCGGAAUCUGUGGCCCUCUUCUUCAUGCUCCUGCUGGACUUGACUGCUGUGGCUGGCAAUGCCGCUGUGAUGGCCGUGAUCGCCAAGACGCCUGCCCUCCGAAAAUUUGUCUUUGUCUUCCACCUCUGCCUGGUGGACCUGCUGGCUGCCCUGACCCUCAUGCCCCUAGCCAUGCUCUCCAGCUCCGCCCUCUUUGACCAUGCCCUUUUUGGGGAGGUGGCCUGCCGCCUCUACUUGUUCCUGAGCGUGUGCUUUGUCAGCCUGGCCAUCCUCUCGGUGUCAGCCAUCAAUGUGGAGCGCUACUAUUACGUGGUCCACCCCAUGCGCUACGAGGUGCGCAUGACGCUGGGGCUGGUGGCCUCUGUGCUGGUGGGUGUGUGGGUGAAGGCCUUGGCCAUGGCUUCUGUGCCAGUGUUGGGAAGGGUCUCCUGGGAGGAAGGAGCUCCCAGUGUCCCCCCAGGCUGUUCACUCCAAUGGAGCCACAGUGCCUACUGCCAGCUUUUUGUGGUGGUCUUUGCUGUCCUUUACUUUCUGUUGCCCCUGCUCCUCAUCCUUGUGGUCUACUGCAGCAUGUUCCGAGUGGCCCGCGUGGCUGCCAUGCAGCACGGGCCACUGCCCACGUGGAUGGAGACACCCCGGCAACGCUCCGAAUCUCUCAGCAGCCGCUCCACGAUGGUCACCAGCUCGGGCGCCCCCCAGACCACCCCACACCGGACGUUUGGGGGAGGGAAAGCAGCAGUGGUUCUCCUGGCUGUGGGGGGACAGUUCCUGCUCUGUUGGUUGCCCUACUUCUCUUUCCACCUCUAUGUUGCCCUGAGUGCUCAGCCCAUUUCAACUGGGCAGGUGGAGAGUGUGGUCACCUGGAUUGGCUACUUUUGCUUCACUUCCAACCCUUUCUUCUAUGGAUGUCUCAACCGGCAGAUCCGGGGGGAGCUCAGCAAGCAGUUUGUCUGCUUCUUCAAGCCAGCUCCAGAGGAGGAGCUGAGGCUGCCUAGCCGGGAGGGCUCCAUUGAGGAGAACUUCCUGCAGUUCCUUCAGGGGACUGGCUGUCCUUCUGAGUCCUGGGUUUCCCGACCCCUACCCAGCCCCAAGCAGGAGCCACCUGCUGUUGACUUUCGAAUCCCAGGCCAGAUAGCUGAGGAGACCUCUGAGUUCCUGGAGCAGCAACUCACCAGCGACAUCAUCAUGUCAGACAGCUACCUCCGUCCUGCUGCCUCACCCCGGCUGGAGUCAUAAUGGGCCGCUGGACACUCGGAGGGAUAUGGGGCUGCGGGCCAGUUAUGAUCGCAAGGACCACCUUGUGGGAUCACCUUUUCCCAGCCGGCUAGGGCUGAGGCUGGGGUCUCUGCACAUAGCUUUUGCUUAGUGUUUCCUGGGUCAGGAAAAGAGCCAACAGGAUGAAUGUGUGCAAAAGCCUUGGACUUGGCUGUGAUCUUUGACUACUAGGGGAGGGAACCUGGGUAUGGUGAGACGGUGAGGAGAGAAAAGGGUCACAAAGGACUGGCCUCCCUGAUCUCUCUCCUCAUGGCAGCGACCCACCUCCAGUCCCCUGGACAAUCGGGUACAAGAGACUUAAGGUUGGGCAUGGGAAGGGUGGGGUUUCCAUGAUCCAUUCAAUGCCUUCCUACUCCCAUUCAUCGCUCUCAAAAUUAGCUUCAGUGACAAAGACUUAAAUCUCUCUCCUAUCUGCAGCACUGGGUUGGAGAGAGGGCACAGGAGUUGGUCUUGGCUGUUCAUUGAUUGAGACUGUAGGAACUGUGUUGGUUGGUAUUGGUGGUGGUAUUUUCAACAAACAGGGAAUAAUUGCGAACUGGACAGGACACCCAUCUGGGACCAUCUGUCCAUCCAACUUCCCUCAAUUGAAUCAGGUAACACUAACAGGUCAAGGCAGGGCCAGAGGGUGGUGUGGUCUGUAUUUGAACAAAUUCCUGGCUCACUGAGCAUCAAAAGGGGAAAUGGGCUGGUGGGAGUGGGAUAGUCUCCCAUUUAAACAGCUA